ACUGCUAUUAAAUAUUCACUUGUUCCUCUUCCCAUAUUACUCGCGUGUAUCAAUCUCCAUCCACCCCGCAUACCCUCUGGUUAGAAUUUUCAUCCGGCGGUUGUUUUUUAUUGUCCAAUAACAUAAAAGAGCAAAGCUACAAAACUGCUCUUUUCUUUGAGACUGAGAGAGGGCCAUCUCGACUCUUGAGUUUUGAGGUAUCUCUGUUUUUGGGUAAUUUUUUGAGGAAAGGGGC
rnacentral:misc_RNA from 1 species